GAUGAACGCUGGCGGCGUGCCUAAUACAUGCAAGUCGAGCGAACAGACGAGGAGCUUGCUCCUCUGACGUUAGCGGCGGACGGGUGAGUAACACGUGGAUAACCUACCUAUAAGACUGGGAUAACUUCGGGAAACCGGAGCUAAUACCGGAUAAUAUAUUGAACCGCAUGGUUCAAUAGUGAAAGACGGUUUUGCUGUCACUUAUAGAUGGAUCCGCGCCGCAUUAGCUAGUUGGUAAGGUAACGGCUUACCAAGGCAACGAUGCGUAGCCGACCUGAGUGGGUGAUCGGCCACACUGGAACUGAGACACGGUCCAGACUCCUACGGGAGGCAGCAGUAGGGAAUCUUCCGCAAUGGGCGAAAGCUUGACGGAGCAACGCCGCGUGAGUGAUGAAGGUCUUCGGAUCGUAAAACUCUGUUAUUAGGGAAGAACAAAUGUGUAAGUAACUAUGCACGUCUUGACGGUACCUAAUCAGAAAGCCACGGCUAACUACGUG
rnacentral:rRNA from 1 species